rnacentral:rRNA from 1 species
GACGAACGCUGGCGGCGUGCCUAAUACAUGCAAGUCGAACGCAGUGGGGACGGGUGAGUAACACGUGGGUAACCUCCCAUCAGAGGUGAUAACACUUGUAAACAGGUGCUAAUCCGAUACUGAUGGAUGGUCGCUCGGUGCAUUGGCUAGUUGGUGAGGUAACGGCUCACCAAGGCCACGAUUCAUAGCCGGCCUGAGAGGGUGAUCAGCCAAACUGGAACUGAGACACGGCCCAGACUCCUACGGGAGGCAGCAGUAGGGAAUCUUCGGCAAUGGACGAAAGUCUGACCGAGCAACGCCGCGUGAGUGAAGAAGGUUUUCGGGUCGUAAAACUCUGUUGUUAGAGAAGCGGUAUCUAAACAGAAAGCAACGGCUAACUACGUGCCAGCAGCCGCGGUAAUAC